rnacentral:rRNA from 1 species
AGUGGCGGACGGGUGAGUAACGCGUGAGAAUCUGCCUUGGGGUCGGGGACAACCACUGGAAACGGUGGCUAAUACCGGAUACGCCUUCGGGUAAAAGAUUUAUUGCCCUAAGAGGAGCUCGCGUCUGAUUAGCUAGUUGGUGAGGUAAGAGCUCACCAAGGCAGCGAUCAGUAGCUGGUCUGAGAGGACGAUCAGCCACACUGGGACUGAGACACGGCCCAGACUCCUACGGGAGGCAGCAGUGGGGAAUUUUCCGCAAUGGGCGAAAGCCUGACGGAGCAAGACCGCGUGAGGGAGGAAGGCUCUUGGGUUGUAAACCUCUUUUCUCAGGGAAGAAGCUCUGACGGUACCUGAGGAAUCAGCCUCGGCUAACUCCGUGCCAGCAGCCGGUAAUACGGAGGAGGCAAGCGUUAUCCGGAAUUAUUGGGCGUAAAGCGUCCGCAGGUGGCGAUUCAAGUCUGCUGUCAAAGCACGGGGCUUAACUCCGUAAAGGCAGUGGAAACUGAAUAGCUAGAGUGCCGUAGGGGUAGAGGGAAUUCCCGGUGUAGCGGUGAAAUGCGUAGAGAUCGGGAAGAACAUCGGUGGCGAAAGCGCUCUACUGGACGGCAACUGACACUCAGGGACGAAAGCUAGGGGAGCGAAUGGGAUUAGAUACCCC